rnacentral:rRNA from 1 species
ACGGGGGGUGCAAGCGUUGUUCGGAAUCAUUGGGCGUAAAGAGCGUGUAGGCGGCUUAACAAGUCAGAUGUGAAAUCCCUGGGCUUAACCCAGGAAGUGCAUUUGAAACUGUUAGGCUUGAGUAAGGGAGAGGUAAGUGGAAUUCCUGGUGUAGAGGUGAAAUCCGUAAAUAUCAGGAGGAACACCGGUGGCGAAGGCGACUUUCUGGACCGGUUCUGACGGUGAGGCGCGAAAGCGUGGGUAGCAAACAG